UCUCUCUCAAAUCAAAAUCCUUUUCCACUGACAUACACUAUAAAUACCACGCAACGGCGUCGUUUCAACCCCCCAACUCUACUCCGACCCACUAAUACCACUCCCCUUCUGUUGGUGCACCUCUCUCCGGAUAUGGCGGAGAUACAACCACAGGACGCUCCCUUAAACGGCACUGCAACUGUCGCCGUCACCACAUCAGAGCCUGUUGGAUCCAAGCGCCAGAGAAGACCCAGCGUGCGACUGGGUGAUAUCGGCGGCGACCAGCCCUACGAUUCUCACGUCCGGAGAUCCACCAAGCAAUGGAAACACCACCAUCACCUCUCGAUUGAUCACAGGAGGGACUCUAAUCCAUCUGGAAAAACCUCAAAGACGCGGGCCCUUACCAAUCUUAGCUCCGGUGGCGGCGAUUACAGUGAAACCCUAGAUGACGAUAAAGAGGGAAACUUGGAUAGUCUUGCUAUUGGCAGCUGGAGAGUCAAGGAAUCCAAGAAGAGAGGUUCCAUGCCCACCGCCACCAAGAGGGUUCGAUCCAAUUGGGUGUCAAAAAUCGAUGACGAUAACAACAAUAACAACGCUAACAACAAUAAUAAUGGUGAAGGAGAGGACAAGUAUAGCGGAGGUGAGGAUAUGGACGAGGGUUACCGCGAUUUCAAUAUGGAGAAUUCGGAGAGCCCGUUGAAAGAGCAGAGUCCGAUUCAUUCGCUGGAUAAUUUGGCUGUGGAUGGUCAUGGAAAUGAAAGGGAUGCUUUCUAUCAUCAUGGGAACAAUAACCGGAGGCAUAAUAAUGUUAGGCCUAGGGUCUCGGAGAACAGAGAUGUGGAGCUAUCGGGGCCUUCAGAUACAGAUGUCAGGGAUUGGAGGAGCGGGAGAGGAGGGAGGUGUGGAGAGGAGGGAGUGAGGAUUUGGCUCAACGGAUUGGGGUUAGGAAGGUAUGCACCGGUAUUCGAGAUUCAUGAGGUGGAUGAUGAGGUUUUGCCAUUCUUGACAUUGGAGGAUUUGAAGGAUAUGGGAAUAAAUGCGGUGGGGUCAAGGAGAAAAAUGUAUUGCGCCAUUCAAAAGCUGGGAAAGGGUUUCUCGUGAGUUUUGAUGGAGUUUUGGUUUUGGGAAUCAAAGUCUUCUUUUUUUUUUGGAGAAUUCUCAGCCAUGGCAAUGACACAAGGUUUCUAAAUUUCACACUAAUAUCGUGGGGCAUAAAUUUCUAAAGUAAGACAAGCUACUUAAGUGCCAGAAAAGAGGCAGGGACUUAACAUGUUAAGGGACAAACCACAUGGCUUUGUAGUGUUUGAAGGUUUAUGUUAGGUUGCUUAACUGCUCUGGAUGGAUGAAGAGUAUUUUUAGGGACAUUGUUGACGAUUCCUCUACUCUCUUAAGGUGCAAAAGGGGUUUUCCAUUUUAUUUGGCGAUCCCUUGAGGUCACUGCAUUUGUGAUCUUGAUUCUAUUGAAAAUUAAUUUUGUUGAAGCUUGUGUAGUUUAUAUGAUGCUGCCACAUGGGUCAGAAGUUCAGUUCAUUUGAUUGAACUUGUUUUCCCAAGAGGAGAACUGCUUUAAGCUGGUGAAAGGUGGUGCGGUGGUGUGGUUGUCUGUGGACAAUAUGUUCCUCUGUAGUCCAUUGCCACUAGCCUUGGGUGUUUUCCCCUUUAUGAAUUGUUAUAAUAGGUUGUGUUCACUGUACAUUUAUGUACCAUUCGGGGGUCUUAUCAAGGUCAUCCUGUUGGUUAUCAAUGAAGAACCCCAAGGUCAGGGCCUUUCAGGUCUGCAUGAUCUUCAUAGUCGGCCAGUCCUCAAUUCUCCAAUUUGAGUCCCAGAUGAAUCAGUUUCUUGAUAUACGAGGUCUUAAAUGAUCUAUACCAAGGAACCCCGUUUAUUUAUUUGUGUAUUUGAUCUACAAACAGUUUCAUUGC